UACGUAGGCAGCAAACGUUGUUCGGAAUUACUGGGCGUAAAGAGUGUGUAGGCGGUUUCGCAAGUUUGAUGUGAAAUCCCCGGGCUUAACCUGGGAACUGCAUUUGUGACUGCAAGGCUGGAGUACGGCAGAGGGGGAUGGAAUUCCGCGUGUAGCAGUGAAAUGCGUAGAUAUGCGGAGGAACACCGAUGGCGAAGGCAAUCCCCUGGGCCUGUACUGACGCUCAUGCACGAAAGCGUGGGGAGCAAACAGG
rnacentral:rRNA from 1 species